UAACGAUUAAGCAUGUUUGACAAGCUUUGUCACAUCCUUUAACAAACGCGUGAAAAUCCAUAGUUGCCUAUCAUACCUAUCUACAUAAGUUAUUACUUUGUUUCAGGUAAGAAAGUUUGCUGGAAUCUAGCUACAAUGUAAUCGACCGACAUGGUAACAUACCUUCAUGUAAGACGGGCUACAAGUCUACAAAUGUUUUUAGUUAUGAUACUUUGGUAAUGCAUUUUCCACAGUUCCAAGAUGUGUGAGCCCCCCAGGAGCUCCCCAGGAGCGUAAACAAACCACGACAUCCCGUUUGAUUUGAUUGACAUCGGUGAGCGGUAUGUUAUUGAAACAUUAAUCUCAACUCGAACGGCUUCUGAAGUCGUCACUUUGGCCUCGGAAAUAGCUUUACGAUUAUUUUCCGACACAUCAAAGGAGGUGAUUAAAUGUCCAGGGACGCGGAUAUACGCACCCUAUAGACCGAUAACCUGCGAGGGUCAGACUUACCUCAUUUUGGGAAAACUGAAUAUUGGUAUUGUAUUAGAUUUCAAGGGUAUCUAGAGUUACCACGAAGCUAAAGGUCUGGCGACUGAAGCUUUGAUUCCUUAUAUAUUAUCAUGAUCCCUGAGUAAAAUAUCGGAGAAUUGAGGAUCUUAACCCUUGAAACCUGGCACCUUCCAAAGCGCAAGUACAUAAUGUAAUGUAUAGACUGCAUUUAAAUUUCAUCAAAACGGCGCACAAAUAAUGUUAAAAAUAAUAAGCGGCAGCUACACCUCGUAUUUGACAAUAAUAACUAGCGGAAGUCCGUAAUUUCGUUAGCGUGAAAUUCAGUUUUGUCAUUAAUCCCGUGGGAACCAUGGAUUUUUUCAGAAUAUGAAGUAGCCUAUAUGUUGCUCAAUAAUCUCCUGCAUCUACCAGUGAAAGUCCUGUUCAAAUUGGUUCAACCGUUCUUGCCAUUAGCCUGGACAAACAGGCAGACAGACAAAAAAUUUAAAAGCAGCUUGCUUGUGAAAUCACAGACAUACACUCAUACACUUAAAUUUUACUUAUAUAUGUAUUGAUCAUCAUAUCAUAUAAGGACGUAUUAUCGAGUCUAUGGACUGUAUACACAAUAUAGGUCUUUGGUAAGACCAUAGGCUGACAAACACUCAUCAUCAUCAUCAUCAAUAUCAGCCGAUUAACGUCUAUUGCUGGACAUGGACCUCUUGUAUAGACUUUCAAACAUCACGGUCUCGGGCUGCCAGCAUCCAGUGGCUCCUUGCAAGCUGCUUGAUGUCCUCGAUCCAUCUAGAGGGAGGUCGACCAACACUGCGCUUUCCGGUGCGGGGUCGCCAUUCCAGCACCUUGGGACCCCAACGUCCAUUGGCUCUUCGAAAUAUGUGCUCUGCCCAUUCAUGCCUGACAUACAUUCGGCGUUCCUAAAAUGAAGAAUGUCUGACUAUCGUAGACUCUUGGUCCUCUAUAUCUAGAGCUGGAUUACUAACGUGACCUGGCAACUGUCAACGCCGAACUGCCAAUUUGUAUCCGAACCCUCUAAUUGGUACAAAGCUCGAUUUAGACUUCGACGUAUUAAAUGUCUGGACAGAAAACGGUCACAGGUUUAGUUUACGUAAGUCAGUGCCGAUCAUAAAUAUACAGACGUUAAUUAGGUCUGAGUGUAUACUGAGAGGACAUUGGGUUUUUAUAUAAAUAUAUCUGCGUCUUAAAACAGAAACAGGUUUUUUCUAUGCAGAAUCUUAAAUCUAGAUUUUUAGAAUAUAGAUUUCUUAAAAUUUUAGAAUGCACGGUUAUCUAGUUAGAUAGAUAUAAAGUACUUUAAAAGUUGUGUAGCAUGGGUGGGUUUCUAGAAAUUUGAUAUUAUUUUGCUCUGGUGAAUAAGUAAGCGGUGGUGGUCUGGUGGUGGUGAGUGGUAGUCCUUAACUACUUAUGAGGCAUAACAAGCAGUUACGCGUUUUUGUAUAAGGGUUUUUCAAAAACUGCUAUAUCUUUGGUAUUGUAAGAGUGAUAUCGCUAUCAACCGAUAUUCGGCUCACUGUUUAGCUCGAGGCUCCUCUCAGAAUGAGACGGGUUAGGCCAGUAGUCCACCACGCUGGGCCAAUGCGGAUUGGCAGACUUCACACACGCAGAGAAUUAAUAAAAUUCUCUGGUAUGCAGGUUUCCUCACGAUGUUGUCCUUCACCGUUUGAGACAUGUGAUAUUUAAUUUCUUAUAUGACUGAUAUAACUAUAGCUAAAUUAUUUCCACAAAGGACAGGUACCCGUUAUGGCACAUCCUUCGGUGAUAUUUUAACAAGAAAGGGCACCGACUGGCAUUUUAGAUUCAAUACGACAGCCGCUCGUAAAAUGGGAGAGGUGUUUUCGACCUCAUGAAUACCUUAGUACCAGUCCACUUUAAUAGUUAAAUAGUGGGGACACAGAGGUGUAGGGAUAUCCCUAACUUUGUUAUCCCUGCGGAGAGCUGUUCGUUUGCAACUAAACUAAUGGGAACAGAUCUACGUGUUAGCAUUAUGGAAAUUGUUUAGAUUUGUGCCACGUGUUGAAUGGACAGUUACAACGCAGACUUUCUCUGCCCAAUAUCUCCUCUUCACGUUGGCAAACAAGUCCUGUGCGUAGGCCAACGCAUUUUCACAUUGGCCAACGUUGUGGCGAAUAUUGUUGUGGCAGGUAGGUCAUCGAGGCUUAGCCUCUUUGUCCGGGUAAGGUUUUUCAGCCCCUUUCGGGCAGUAUAUAUUGAUCUAUACUAUAUCUUAUCUAUGAGGGUCGUUGUUGUCGCGGUUUUACUAUAAUAUUUUGUAAAAUAGCGACGGUAUCUAUACUAAUAUUAUUAAUCUGAAGAGAUUGUUGUUUGAUUGAACGCGCUAAUUUUAGGAACUACUGGUCCGAUUAAAAAAAAAUUCGAGCCCAUUUAUCGAGGAAGGCUAUUGGCUAUAUAUUAUCCCCGUAUUCCUACGGGAACGAGAACCACGCGAGUGAAACCGCGCGGCGUCAGCUAGUCGGUAAUAAUCGGUACAAUAAAAUAAAAGUAAAACAAUAACUAACAGAUGAAAUUUAUCUACAGUAACGUAACAGUAAAGUAAAAGUAUCUACCUAUAUACUUACCAUAUUCUAGCAAAAUAAAAAAUGGUUUGAUUUUAAAAUUGUCCAUUUUAUACUAGUUGCAAGAAAUGUUUUCCUUAUGAACUUUGGUAAAUUUCCUUUGUAUUUAUAUAGAGGAGUAAAAAGGCAAAAGUAUACUGUAAGACGAUUUCCUCGUAACUUCAUUAUUAUUUAUGCAAUAAGUAGCGAUUUGAAUGCGUUGGGCGGCGAGGCGUUCUUACAAUAAAAUUCUAGAAAUGCUAUUGUACAUUAUUGAGAUUGCUUACUCUUGAAUUAUUCCGUGUAUGUGUAAUAAGCCAUUUUAAUUUUCGUGCAGUUAUGUUUACCGACUUUGUAAAUUACCUAUAAUGACAUAACAACACAAUAUUAAGAAAAUAUUUGCUUACUUUAUUUAGAACUAGCCGACGCCCGCGACUUCGUCCGCGUGAAACUCGAUGUAAACUUUCAACUACCCCUAGCCUACCCCUAGCCUACCCCUACCCCUACCCUACUCCUACCUACCCCUACCAUACUUUUCUGGUUGAUUUUUUACACCUUGUGUCCGAAAACCCAAACAUCUUACGGAACCCUAUUUAUUUCCAAAAUAAAAUUUUGCCUAUGUUACUUGUGAAUAAUGUAGCUUUCGAAUGGUGAAAGAAUUUUUAAAAUCGGUCCAGUAGUUUUUGAGCCUAUUUAUUACAAUCAAACAAACAAACAAACAUACAAACAAAGUUUUCCUCUUUAUAAUAUUAGUAUAGAUAAUCAAUGAAUAAGAUUUGAUUUAAUGAAGCCAAAAAAACGAUAUUUAAAAAAUGUCUUUCCAGUAUACAUAUUUCUUGAUUAUAAAUUGAUAGCAAUUAUCGUUCAAUGCAUUCUCGAUAAAGUCAUCAAUACUCUCUCUAAGUGAGCUUUCAUUUGAGACCGCACUCGAGUAUAUUUACACACAUUCGGUUAUUCUUCCCCACUUUCAUCCCCAUAACUUUUAAAACGGCUCAACCGAUUUUCAUCAAACAUAUAUCAAACAACAACCUUUAAUACAAAAAAAAACUAAAUUGAAAUCGCUUUAUUCGUUCGGGAGUUAUGGCGCCUAAGACAAACAGACAGACAUGUCAAACGUAUCACACAUAAACACCCCUCUUUUUGUUUCGGGGGUUAAAAAUUACAAUCAAUAAUAUUUAUACGAGUUAAACUAAAAAAACCUUGUUUAUUUAUUUGUAUAGUUCGAAAUAUUCGACACGAUCGAGCUGGUAAGUAGAUAUAGCUUGUCAAUAUCCAACUAUAAAUUUAAAAUUUAACUAGAGAUAGCGACCCAUCUCAUGCACGCGACCCAGUUUCGCUUCUGAAUUUUUCAUGCUCAUAUCAACUGACGUAAAACUUGUUGCUACAUGUGCUCUGUAGAAUGCUAUUUCCAGUUUAUAUAUUUAUUUCAUGUUAAAAAAUUAACAAUCGCACAAGUUGUAUCUACGAUUUUCAGGAUGCCAUUAUUCUGACAUGAAAAAAACGGGACUACUCUGUAACAAAACAAAAAAAUAUAUUAUAUUGUAUUCUUACGGGAACGGAAACCACGCGAGUGAAACCGCGCGGCGUAAGCUAGUGGGUUGAUAAUGAUGAAAUUAUGAAAUAACUUGACGUUUAAGAGUGUGCAAUAUGUAAUUUGGUGGUUAUAAAUGGUUCUGGA